AAAACAUGGCCCCUCGAAAGUAGGAUGUAUGGGGGGUCGGACCUGCCCGGUGACUUUAGAAGUUAAACGGCCGCGGUACCCUGACCGUGCAAAGGUAGCAUAAUCAUUUGCCUCUUAAUUGGGGGAUGGUAUGAAUGGUUUGACGAGAAUUAAGCUGUCUCUUUUAAAAUAUUGAGAAAUUAACUUUUAGGUGAAGAGGCCUAAAUUUUGCUGAGGGACAAGAAGACCCUAUUGAGCUUUAGUUAUCUUUUGGGUAUAUGGUUUCAUUUAUUUGAAAACUUUUCUUAAAGAAAUCUUUGGUUGGGGCGACUUAGGAACAAAAAAAGCUUCCUAUGAUAGAAUAAUGGUUUUAAAUUUGCCUGUUUUUGAUCCGGUAUUACCGAUUAAAGGAAAAAGUUACCAUAGGGAUAACAGCGUAAUCUUCUUGGAGAGUACAUAUCGAAAAGUGGGUUUGCGACCUCGAUGUUGGACUAAGAUAUCCUGAGGGUGUAGCAGCUUUCGAGGGUUGGUCUGUUCGACCAUUAAAAUCUUACGUGAUCUGAGUUCAGACCGGA
rnacentral:rRNA from 1 species